rnacentral:rRNA from 1 species
AUUGAACGCUGGCGGAAUGCUUUACACAUGCAAGUCGAGCGGCAGCGCGGUCUUCGGACUGGCGGCGAGCGGCGAACGGGUGAGUAAUACAUCGGAACAUGCCCAGUCGUGGGGGAUAACACUUCGAAAGAAGUGCUAAUACCGCACACGUCCUGAGGGAGAAAGCGGGGGAUCGCAAGACCUCGCGCGAUUGGAGUGGCCGAUGUCAGAUUAGCUAGUUGGUGGGGUAAAGGCCUACCAAGGCAACGAUCUGUAGCUGGUCUGAGAGGAUGAUCAGCCACACUGGGACUGAGACACGGCCCAGACUCCUACGGGAGGCAGCAGUGGGGAAUUUUGGACAAUGGGGGCAACCCUGAUCCAGCCAUUCCGCGUGAGUGAAGAAGGCCUUCGGGUUGUAAAGCUCUUUCGGCAGGAACGAAACGGUGAGCUCUAACAUAGCUCGCUAAUGACGGUACCUGAAGAAGAAGCACCGGCUAACUACGUGCCAGCCGCCGCAGUAAAAC